CCCAAAAUUUACGCACCCUAGCCUUUUUUUUUUCCCGCUGGCAUUCCUUUCCUCUUCCCUUUGUUCCUUUUCUCUUCGAAGCAAAUAAGGAGUAGCUCCUCUUCCCACUGGAGGAGCGCUUCUUUUCUCUCCGUAACAAGGAAGGAUGCUCUUCUUUCAUCUCCGCAACAAGCAAGGAGGAGCUCUUCUGUCUUGACAGCAAGAAAAGAGGAGAUAUUCUUCCCUCUCUGCAACAAGCAAGGAGAGACUCUUCUUCCCUCUCCGCAGCAAGCAAGGAGGAGCUCUUCUUUCCUCUCCGCAGGAAGUAAGGAAGAGCUGAAAGGCCAAGAAUUUGGUUGAUCCAUUUGCAUAUAAGGAAUACAUAGAACAAUAGAAGAAAGAAAGGAUGGAUGCAAAGCAAGCUUCCCGCAUCACAAUAUAUAAAAGGUUACCUAAAGUAAAUAGGCUUCUAGCAACUCGUCUUCAGCAAGGAGAAAAAGAAGAAGGAGAAAUGGCUGACACAGAUGAUAUUGGGGCAAAAAAGGUCAAAGAAGAAUAAGGGAUUAAACACUGAGAUUCUGAGAGAUACACAUUUUGCAUCAAUGUUUGAGGAUAAGAUUAUUUCUCUUUCAUUGAAGAUGUUGCUGCAACAAGAGCUCCUAAGAGCUUGAAUCACUUAUAGAACAUGCUCCAAGCCCAAGGUAUUAAAAUUAUAAGGCAUUUGACUUUUCACAACUUAUAGUUAGACAACAAUCUUGAGAACAAUGGGAAUUACUCUAAAAUUUAUGCUUUGUUUCAGUAAAAAAAAUUCAAUGUUAUUGGAGCUCUGAAUGUUUUCAUCUCAGUGAUGUCAUUUGAAUGUUUCCUAAAUGGAUGAUGGUAGUAUAGCAUACUAUUGAUUGCGGACAUUGUUCACCUUUACCUGUCUGUGAUGAUCGAGAAUGAGUCUCCAACUUCAGAAAUCUAUAUUAUAUUUCCACUCGUGACCUUAGAUGACACAUGACUUUUGAAAUAGGAAUAUAAUUCUAGAAUGGUUCUAGUUCUUUAGUCACAGUUACCCAGAAUUUAUGAUUGUAUAAUGGAUUAGCUUCUGAGUUUAGCAGAUAAACGCUCACCAAAGAAACUCCUCUUUUAGAUCAAUGAACCAUGUGCUUCUAAAUCAUUACUCUGUAUAAAUGUCAAAACUUUAGUAAGAAUACUUCUGAUCCCUGAUCAUUCUUUAGAUUUUGUAUUACUAGAUGCAAUUUACUACGUACAUAAAUCAGGAACUAUUAGGUCAUGGUAAGGUGUUUAAAUUUAAGUAAUUUUCUAUUCAUUUCUUUUCUCCAUUAUACUUCCAGAACUAUCUGACUUUAAUUUGAAGGUAACAAGGAUCAGUUUGUUGCUAAACUUAAUACCUUAUUGAUAAUUGAGGAUUUAUACUCUGCAUAUGGCUUUAUCACAGAGACUGAACUUUAUUUGACUCAACUAUAGAUUACAGGUGAAGCAUUAAUAUCGCCUGUAGCCAAGGAAGGGCUAAUUCCUCUUGUUAUUCCACUAUCAGAAAGCCCUUCAGGUUUCAUAUUUGAUCUAUAUUUUUUACUGGAAUAGAAGUGAUAAUGCCUUUGGCUUUGCUUCUGCAACAGUAAGUUGACUCUUUACUAAGAUGGCCAACUUCUCCUCCAGGGAUGGAAAUGCCAGUUGUGGAAGUUCAUAAGCACGGUGUGUGAUAGAUACACUUGAUUAGUAACAUUAUUAUCUAUUCUAAUGAUUUUUUAUAUGUCUUAUACUUAAAGAAAAAGUAAGUCCUACAAAUACAUCAAUUAUACAAUCAAAAGUUUGAAUUGAAGGGCACAAGAAAAAAAUGGAGAACCUAGUAGUCAAACUAUUGCAGAGAAAAUGAUAAUAAAACUAUCUCUUUGUUAUUUAUAGAAUUCACAAGAAAAAAAUAGAUAACCUAAAUUUCUUAUUUUAUCAAAAGUUGUCUUUUGUUAUUUGCAAAAGGAAAUAGAAGAGUGUCCACUUGGAGUUGUUGGAGAGGUCGAAUUGCAUUCAUAGAUUCAAAAGUAAAAAUGCUUCACUUUCUACACUACAGAUUUUGUUGGAAAUUUUGAGUUGAUAGAGUUUUUAUGGAGAAGGUGGAUCUAAUUCUUUCAUAUGAUGAAAUGCUUUAUCUUAGGGAUGCAAUAGGAAACAUAGUCGCUUAGUUAUCUAAAUUUAUAGUUUUGUAUGACAUAUAAAUUCUACUUAUUUUAAAGUUAUAUACUCUUUUGUAGGAAAGAAAUUAUGUUACUAAGUGAAUUUUUUGAUACUAGUUUGGAUUAUUUUUAAAGUUAUUAUAAUUGUUUGAAUUUUGAUUUUAUAAUUGCCUUGAUGUGGUAUUAUAAUUUGUGCGUGGUAUCUUUAUGUGGUAGUUGAAUGAUCGUAACCAAAGCAUGCGACAUGUGUUGUGAAUGCUCUUAAUCGUAGGAUGCGGUGCACACUGUGAAUGCUUUUAAUCAUGUCGCGCAUUGCGAAUGCUCUUACCCGUAACGCGUGUCGUGUUCUGUGAAUGCUCAUAAUUGCAGCACGUUGUGAAUUCUCUUAACCACAACAUGUUGUGCAUGUUGUCAAUGUUUUAUGACAUUCAACAAUUUAUAGUUGUGCAACAUGCGAUAUGCGCUACGGAUAACAUAAUUACGCGUUGCGAAAAGUCAUUGUUGAUGCAAACACAUUCAUAAUCACAAACACAAUCACAUACAAGCAUUGGUUAUCACCAAGGCCACAUAAUCAUCGCCGCUCAAAUUUGGUGCUUGGGUUGUCUGGUUAGCAGUGUGGUCAUGUUCAACAUAUCGGCUCAGCAAUGCACAACAACCUCGGCAGCCUAGUAGUUCCGUCCUCAACAUCAAUGCAGUAGCACCGUUCCAUUAGCACCCCAACCUUUCCAUCCGCAUCCAACACAGAGCUCUGCAACAUCCACAUACCUUCCUCCAUUCAGCAUCGCCAGCUCAGCUACAGCAGUUUUAGGGCUCCUCCUAGCUUCGCAAUAAGUUUCCAGCAUCAGCAAACCAGAGCAAGGAAAGACUCCGUCCAACCUCGGUAGUCUCAGGGAAGCUUGACUUAUCUCUAGCAGCUUGGAAGGUUGUCAUAGCUUGGGAGGCCUUCUCAUUGGAGGUUCAUCCUCGUAGAUUGAAAACUAGCUCUCGUCUACAAACCAACACCUAGAGAAGAUAGUUUCGGCCUACACCCCAGACCAAAGGUGUAGCACCAAAUGAUAUGUAAUGUUGUAUCGGAUUGGGGAGCAGCACUAGUAUCAUGCUCAGGAUGAUCAACACCUUCGGACUUAGCUCCGGUCACCACUUUGCAGAGGUUCAACGUUGUGGAUGAUGAUUCAUUGGAGCUCCCCCUCGCGUGCAGCAGCUCCAAUCCACCGCGACCGUAGUCCCUAACACCUAGCAGUGAUCAUAGCCACCCAUAUGCUGCUUCCUUCCCUCCAUCACAUUAAGUGCAUCUGUAAAAUCUUCCACCCCAACCACCAGCUGAGGGAGAGCCCAUCAUAGUGAGGAUGCUGGCUAGACUCCCUUUGUGACCCGAUGAGCAGAUGAACACCUCCACCAUAGCCGUGGCUAAUAGUUCAGCAAACCCUAGCUGAGCUUUGUACACCACAUCAAAUUUCUCACUGGCAUAGAAAGAAGAAGGGGGGUUGUGAUAGUUGUGAACCCUAACUCCUUAACCCCGCAUUUCAAUGGGUUACAGGUUUUGGAUCACAACUCGAAACCGACAUUUGUAUCCAACUGGCCAUCGAAUUUGAAAUUCAAAUUUGGAUUUUGAAUUUGAAAUUUUUGCCUCCCCACACGCUUCACCCGCUUAUCCCUUUGACUGUGGCUAUGUCAGUAUUAGUAUUAGUAUUAGUCCUAAUAUCAAUUAUUAAAUGAUUGACAUGGGUAAUUUUGUAUCAUAUUUCAUUAAUUAAUAAAAAGAAAAGUCAAUUAUAUUUAUUUCAGUUCAAUGCCGAAUGAAUAAGUAUAAUAAUGCCAUAGGGUAGUAGGUUCUAGUUUAUAACAUAUCAAUUGGUUGAAUUGAUAAUGAAAUAUGUAGAUAUAUAUAGAAUACUACUGUUAACUAUUUUUAGUCAAACAUUAAUAUACAAAGACCAUAUUAAUGCGUUGAAAUUAGUAUGUAAGUCGACGGAUGACUUAAUCUCACAAGUCAUGGAUAUGAGAUAUCAGGUUGACAUAUGAGUAUAUAUUAGAAAAUAUAUAUAGAAUGAUCUAGCAUGAGAAUGUUUCAUCGAUCGUUAUAUGAGUGUCAUAAACAUUCUCAUAGUGACUAUUAGUAUGCAUAGUUCUUAGACCUAAAGUCACUAUGGUUCUCUACAUAAGGAGUUAUGUACUUUGGUAUCGAUAAAUGUCACUUAUAAUAAGGUGGACUAUAAAUUCGAUCACUUGGUAUACAAUAAAUUAUGCGGAGGGAUGCGAGUGAUGUAGAUGAGAUCUAUCUCUUUCAUAUGAUGAAAGCGAUAUCUAUGGAUCCUUUGAUUAGUAGGACACAAAAAUACAUGACCAUACUCAAAUGAGUUAAUAUACAAUAUUAAGCUUAUUUGAUUAAGUGUGUUUAUUUAGAGAUUAAGAAACAUAAAGAUUGAUAAGAGAAUGACACGGUCUAUGCCUCAUUGAUCAAUCUAGAUAUUAAAGAUAGAAGAAGUAUUAAGUUAUACAAGAUAAUAGACACAGAAAGGUUAGGUUAGAUCUCGACAUUCUCGUCACUUGGGUAACAAUAAUGCAUUGUUAGAUACCACUCAUUGCUUAUGUAUCUAAAAUGAUUUUAGAUAUAUUACCAACGUUAUGAGAGCCUAUUGGGUCACACACAAAGAGCAUGUUGAUUUGAAGAUAGAUUAUAUGAUUAAGUCUAAUCCGAAUUAUACAUAUUGAGUUAGACUCGAAUCAAUUCGGAUUAGACUCAUUGAGUAAUUGGUUAGAUUCAUUGGUUUAUUGGGUUAAUGACUUAUUGGUUAACGGUUAAUCCAAUAUAUUAAAUUCAAUCCAUUAGGAUUAAUGAAUAUUAAUAGAGAUUAAUAUAUCAUUAAUCAAAAGAAAGAUCAAGAGAUAAAAUUUUUUUAUAUUCAUUGGAUGUGUAGUAUUCGAAAUCACUUAUUUAAUUAA